AUUUCUAUAUUUAUAUAGUUUAAAAAACCUUACAUUUUCAUUGUAAAAUUAAAUAUUCACUAUUUUAUAA
rnacentral:tRNA from 1 species